AUUGAACGCUGGCGGCAGGCCUAACACAUGCAAGUCGAACGAGUGGCGGACGGGUGAGUAAUGUAUGGGAAACUGCCUGAUGGAGGGGGAUAACUACUGGAAACGGUAGCUAAUACCGCAUACCAUCAGAUGUGCCCAGAUGGGAUUAGCAGGUUGGUGGGGUAAAGGCUAACCAAGGGGACGAUCCCUAGCUGGUCUGAGAGGAUGACCAGCCACACUGGAACUAAGACACGGUCCAGCUCCCUACGGGAGGCAGCAGUGGGGAAUUUUGCACAAUGGGCGCAAGCCUGAUGCAGCCAUGCCGCGUGUAUGAAGAAGGCCUUCGGGUUGUAAAGUACUUUCAGCGGGGAGGCGUUACCCGCAGAAGAAGCACCGGCUAACUCCGUGCCAGCAGCCGCGGUAAUUC
rnacentral:rRNA from 1 species